rnacentral:rRNA from 1 species
GACGAACGCUGGCGGCGUGCUUAACACAUGCAAGUCGAACGGAAAGGCCCUGCUUUUGUGGGGUGCUCGAGUGGCGAACGGGUGAGUAACACGUGAGUAACCUGCCCUUGACUUUGGGAUAACUUCAGGAAACUGGGGCUAAUACCGGAUAGGAGCUCCUGCUGCAUGGUGGGGGUUGGAAAGUUUCGGCGGUUGGGGAUGGACUCGCGGCUUAUCAGCUUGUUGGUGGGGUAGUGGCUUACCAAGGCUUUGACGGGUAGCCGGCCUGAGGGGGUGACCGGCCACAUGGGGACGGGGAGACGGCCCAGAUUCCUACGGGAGGCAACAGGGGGGAAUAUGGCACAAUGGGCGGAAGCCUAAUGCAGAAACGCGGCGGGCGGGAGGACGGCCUUGGGGUGGUAAACCGCUUUGGCCGGUGACGAACCGGGGGGGAGGGAAAGGGUGAAAGAAGCACCGCUAAAUUACUU